ACGUCAACAAAGAAGUGGAAGGAAAACAGUAAGCUUAUUUUUCCAAGCAUGCCCAAUAAUAUUUGUGUAUCUUUGUAUUUCUAGCUGUGUUUUAUGAGGAAUGGAGAGAAGAACAAGUUGAACAAGGAAGUUGAAGGAAAACAGUAUGCUAAGUUGUCUAAGCAUGAUAAGCGUAAGAAUAUCUGCGUAUUUUCCAGCUGUGUUUUAUGAGGAAUGGAGAUGACAAGAGACAUGUCACCAAGGAAGUGGAUGCAAUACAGUAAGGAAUGGAGACAAGAACAAGGUUAACAAGGAAGUUGAAGGAUACCAGUAAGCUCACUUUUCCAUGCAUCACUAAUAAUAUCUGUGUAUCUUCCCGCUGCGUUUUAUGAGGAAUGGAGACAAGAACAAGGAAUGGAGACAUGAACAAGGUUAACUGGGAAAUUGAAGGAUAACAGUAAGCUAAUUUUUCCAAGCAUGCCUCAUAAUAUUCGUGGAUGUGUGCAUCUUUCUGCUGUGUUUUAUGAGGAAUGGAGACAAGAGAAAUGUCAGCAAGGAUGUGGAUGGAAUAUAGUAAGCUGCGUUUUAUGAGGAAUGGAGAUGACAAGCAUGUCCACAAGGAAGUGGGAGGAAUAUAGUGUGUUUUAUGUGGAGUGGAGAUGAGUACAACAUCAACUGGGAAUUUGAAGGAUAACAGUAAGCAAAUUUUUCCAAGCGUGCCUGAUAAUAUCUGUGUAUCUUCCCGAUGCGUUUUAUGAGGAAUGGAGACAACAACAAUGUCUACAAGGAAGUGGAAGGAAAACACUGUGUUUUAUGGGGAAUGGAGAGAAGAACAAGGUCAACCAGGAAUUUGAAGGAAUACACUAUGGUAAAUUUUCCAAGCAUGCCUAAUAAUAUCUGUGUAUGUGUAUCUUCCUGCUGCGUUUUAUGAGGAAUGGAGACAAGAACCACGUCAACCAGGAAGUUGAAGGAAAACACUGCGUUUUAUGAGGAAUGGAGAUAAGAACAAGUUGAACAAGGAAGUUGAAGGAAAACAGUAUGCUAAGUUGUCUAAGCAUGCGUAAGAAUAUCUGCGUAUCUUCCAGCUGUGUUUUAUGAGGAAUGGAGAUGACAAGAGACAUGUCACCAAGGAAGUGGAUGCAAUACAGUAAGGAAUGGAGACAAGAACAAGGUUAACAAGGAAGUUGAAGGAUACCAGUAAGCUCACUUUUCCAUGCAUCACUAAUAAUAUCUGUGUAUCUUCCCGCUGCGUUUUAUGAGGAAUGGUGACAAGAACAAUGUCAGCAAGGACGUGGAAGGAAUAUACUGCGUUUUAUGAGGAAUGGAGACAAGAACAAGGUGAACAAGGAAGUGGAAGGAAAACAGUAUGCUAAUUUUUCCAAGCAUGCCUAAUAAUAUCUGUGUAUCUGUGUAUAUUCUACCUGCGUUUCAUGAGGUCUGGCGAUAACAAUGUAGUCAACCAGGAAGUUGAAGGAAAACAGAAUGGAGACAUGAACAAGGUUAACUGGGAAAUUGAAGGAUAACAGUUAGCUAAUUUUUCCAAGCAUGCCUCAUAAUAUUCGUGGAUGUGUGCAUCUUUCUGCUGUGUUUUAUGAGGAAUGGAAACAAGAGAAAUGUCAGCAAGGAUGUGAAUGGAAUAUAGUAAGGUAAUUUUUUUCCGUGCGUGCCGAAGAAUAUCUGUGUAGGUUUGUAUUUCCAGUUGUGUUUCAUGAGGAAUGGAGUCAAGAAAUAAGGUCAAGUAAUAAGCUGAAGGAAAACAGUAAGCUAAAUUUUCCAAGCUUGCCUAUUAAUAUGUGUAUCUUCCUGCUGGGUAUUAUGAGGAAUGGAGACGAGAACAACGUCAAUAAGGAAGUUGAAGGAAAACAGUAAGCUUAUUUUAUCAAGCGUGCCUAAGAAUAUCUGUUUGUCUUCCUGCUGCGUUUUGUGAGGCAUGGACGUGACAAGAAUGUCAACCAGGUUGUGGAGUUAAAACUGUGAGAUAAUUUUUCAAGUGUGUUUAUUAAUAUUUGUGUAUGUUCACGUUGUGUUUUAUGAGGCAUGGAGACAAGCACAACGUCAACCAGGAAGUUGAAGCAAAACAGUAAGGUAAUUUUUCCACGCAUGUCAAAUAAUAUGUGUGUAUCUGUGUAUGUUUCCUGUGUGUUUUAUGAGGAAUGGAGACAAGGAAAAUGUUAACUAGGAAGUGCAAGGAAAGCAGUAAGCUAAUUUUUGCAAGCAUGCCUAAUAAUAUCUGUGUAUCUGUGUAUCUUCCUGCUGUGUUUUAUGAGGAAUGGAGACAAGAACAAGGUCAGCCAAGAAGUUGAAGGAAAGCAGUAAGCUAAUUUGUCCAGUUAUGCCUAAGAAUAUCUGUGUAUCUUUGUAUUUCCAGCUGCGUUUUAUGAGGAAUGGAGAUGAGAACAAGGUCAAUCAGGAAGUGGAAGGAAAACAGUAUGUUAAAUUUUCCAAGCAUGCCUUAUAAUAUCUGUAUCUUUUCGCUGCGUUUUAUGAGGAAUGGAGAGGAUAAGCAUGCCAACAAGGAAGUGGAAGGAUAACAGUUAGCUAAUUUUAUCAAGCGUGCCUAAUAAUAUCUGUGUAUCUUCCCGCUGUGUUUUAUGAGUAAUGGAGAUGACAACAAUGUCAACCAUGAAGUUGAAGGAAAAUAGUACGCUCAUUUUUCCAAGUGUGCCUAAUAAUAUGUGUGUAUAUGUGUAUGUUUCUGGUGUGUUUUAUGAGGAAUGGAGACAAGGAAAAUGUUACCUAGGAAGUGGAAGGAGAGCAGUAAGCUAAUUUUUCCAAGCAUGCGUCUUAAUAUCUGCGUAUCUUCCAGCUGUGUUUUCUGAAGAAUGGAUACAAGAACAAGGUCAAUGAGGAAGUUGAAGGAAAACAGUAAGGUGUGUUUUAUGUGGAGUGGAGAUGAGUACAACAUCAACUGGGAAUUUGAAGGAUAACAGUAAGGAAAUUUUUCCAAGCGUGCUUGAUAAUAUCUGUGUAUUUGUGUAUCUUCCCGCUGUGUUUUAUGGGGAAUGGAGAAUAGAACAACGUCAACCAGGAAGUUGACGCAAACCAGUAAGCUAUAUUUUCCAAAUGUGUUUGAUAAAAUCUGUGUAUCUUCCUGAUGCGUUUUAUGAGGAAUAGAGACAGCAACAAUGUCUACAAGGUAGUGGAAGGAAAACGGUAAGCUAAUUUUUCCAAGUGUGUUUAAUAUUAUCUUUGUAUUUGUGUAUCAUCGCACUGUGUUUUAUGAGGAAUGGAGACGAGAACAACGUCAACCAGUAAGUUGAGGGAAAACGGUAAGCUUGUUUUCCAAGCAUGCCUAAUAAUAUUUGUGUAUUUUUGUAUUUGCAGUUGUGUUUUAUGAGGAAUGGAGACAACAAUAAUGUUAACCAUGAAGUUAAAGGAUAACAGUAAGUUAAUUUUUCCAAGCAUGUGUAAUAAUAUUUGUGUUUAUUUGUAUUUGCAGCUGUGUUUUAUGCGGAAUGGAGACAAGAACCAGGUCAAUAAGGAAUUUGAAGGAAAACAAUAAGCUAAAUUUUCCAAGUAUGCUUAAUAAUAUCUGUGUAUAUGUGUAUCUUCCUGCUGUGUUUUAUGAGGAAUGGAGACGAGAACAGUGUUAACCAGGAAGUUGAAGGAAAACACUGUGUUUUAUGAGGAAUGGAAACAAGAACAAGGUCAACCAGGAAUUUGAAGGAAAACACUAAGCUAAAUUUUCCAAGCAUGCCUAAUAAUAUCUGUGUAUAUGUGUAUCUUACUGCUGUGUUUUAUGAGGAAUGGAGAGAAUAACAACGUCAAUCAGGAAGUUGAAGGAAAAUGCUGCGUUUUAUGAGGAAUGGAGACAAGAACAAGGUGAACAAGGAAGUGGAAGGAAAACAGUUCGCUAAUUUUUCCAAGCAUGCUUAAUAAUAUCUGUGUAUCUGUGUAUAUUCUACCUGCGUUUCAUGAGGUAUGGAGAUAACAACGAAGUCAACCAGGAAGUGGAAGGACAACAGUAAGCUGAAUUUUCCAAGCAUGCAUAACAAUAUCUGUGUUUUUAUGUAUGUUUCUGGUGUGUUUUAUGAGGAAUGGAGUUGAGAACAAGGUCAACCCGUUAGCUGAAUGAUAACAGUAAGCUAAUUUUUGUAAGCAUGCCUAAUAAUAGCUGUGUGUCGUCCUGUUGGGUUUUAUGUGUAUUGGAGAGAAGAACAAGGUCAACCAGGAAGUUGAAGGAAAACAGUAAGCUAACUUUUUCCAGCAUGCCUAAUAAUAUCUGUGUAUCUUUCAGCUGUGUUUUAUGAGGCUUGGAGAAGACUAGAAGGUCAUCCACGAAGUGGAAGGGAAACAGUGAGAUAAUUUUUCCAAGCGUGCUUAAUAAUAUUUGUGUAUGUGUGUGUCUUCAUGCUAUGUUUUGUGAAGAAUGGAGACAAGAAGAAGGUCAUCUAGGAAGUUGAAGGAAAGCAGUAAGGUAAUUUUUCUAAGCAUGCCUCAUAAUAUUUGUGGAUCUGUGUAUCUUCCCUUUGUGUUUUAUUAGGAAUGGAGACAUGAACAAGGUUAACUGGGAAAUUGCAGGAAGCUAUUUUUUUAGCUAAUUUUUCCAAGCAUGCCUCAUAAUAUUCGUGGAUGUGUGCAUCUUUCUGAUGUGUUUUAUGAGUAAUGGAGACAAGAGAAAUGUCAGCAAGGACGUGGGUGGAAUAUAGUAAGGUAAUUUUUUUCCGUGCGUGCCGAAGAAUAUCUGUGUAGGUUUGUAUUUCCAGCUGCGUUUCAUGAGGAAUGGAGUCAAGAACAAUGUCAAGUAAUAAGUUGAAAGAAAACAGUAAGCUAAAUUUUCCAUGCAUGCCUAAUAAUAUCUUUAUCUUCCUGCUGCGUUUUAUGAGGAAUGGAGAUGAGAACAACGUCAACAAGGAAGUUGAAGGAAAAGUAAGAUUAUUUUAUCAAGCGUGCCUAAGAAUAUUUGUUUGUGUUCUUGCUGCGUUUUGUGAGGCAUGGACAUGAAAAGAAUGUCAACCAGGUUGUGGAGUUAAAACUGUGAGAUAAUUUUUCAAGUGUGUUUAUUAAUAUUUGUGUAUGUUCACGUUGUGUUUUAUGAGGCAUGGAGACAAGAACAACGUGAACGAGGAAGUUGAAGCAAAACUGUAUGGUAAUUUUUCCAAGCAUGCCAAAUAAUAUGUGUGUUUCUGUGUAUGUUUCCCGUGUGUUUUAUGAGGAAUGGAGACAAGAACAAAGUCAACCUGGAAGUUUAAGGAAAACAGUAAGUUAACUUUUCCAAGCAUGCCUAAUAAUAUCUGUGUAUCUGUGUAUCUUCUCGCUGCGUUUCAUGAGGAAUGGCGAGGAUAAGCAUGCCUACAAGGAAGUGGAAGGAUAACAGUAAGCUAAUUUUAUCAAGUGUGCCUAAUAAUAUCUGUGUUUCUUUGUGUUUCUAGCUGCGUUUUAUGAGGAAUGGAGAUGACAAGCAUGUCCACAAGGAAGUGGAAGGAAUGUAGUAAGCUAAUUUUUCGAAGCGUGCCUAAUAAUAUCUGUGUAUCUGUUUAUCUUCCCGCUGCGUUUUAUGAGAUAUCGUGAUGACAAUAAUGUCAACCCUGAAGUUCAAGGAAAUCAGUAUGCUAAUUUUUCCAAGCGUAUCUAAUAAUAUGUGUGUAUAUGUGUAUGUUUCCGGUGUGUUUUAUGAGGAAUGGAGACAAGGAAAAUGUUACCUAGGAAGUGCAAGGAGAGCAGUAAGCUAAUUUUUGCAAGCAUGCUUCUUAAUAUCUGCAUAUCUUCCAGCUGUGUUUUGUGAAUAAUGGAGACAAGAACAAGGUCAACGAGGAAGUUGAAGGAAAACAGUAAGUUAAUUUUUGCAAGCAUGCUUCAUAAUAUCUCUGGAUGUUUGUAUGUUCCCUCUGUGUUUUAUUAGGAAUGCAGAGAAGAACAAGGUCAUCUGCGAAAUUGAAGGAUAACAGUUAGCUAAUUUUUCCCAGCUUGCAUAAUAAUAUCUGUGUAUGUUUGUAUGUUCUUGUUGUGUUUUAUGAGGAAUGGAGAUGAGAACAAUGUUAUCUAGGAAGUGGAAGGAAUGCAGUAUGGUAAUUUUUCUAAGUGUGGCUAAUAGUAUUUGGGUGUGUAUAUUUUCAGGUGUGUUUUAUGUGGUGUGGAGAUGAGUACAACGUCAACUGGGAAUUUGAAGGAUAACAGUAAGCAAAUUUUUCCAAGCGUGUCUGAUAAUAUCUGUGUAUUUGUGUAUCUUCCCGCUGCGUUUUAUUAGGAAUGGAGAAUAGAACAACGUCAACCAGGAAGUUGAAGCAAACCAGUAAGCUAUAUUUUCCAAUUGUGCCUGAUAAUAUCUGUGUAUCUGUGUAUCUUCCUGAUGCGUUUUAUGAGGAAUGGAGACAACAGCAAUGUCUACAAGGAAGUGGAAGGAAAACAGUAAGCUAAUUUUUCCAAGCGUGCUUAAUAUUGUCUUUGUAUUUGUUUAUCAUCCCACUGCGUUUUAUGAGGAAUGGAGACGAGAAUAAUGUCAACAAGGUAGUUGAGGGAAAACAGUAAGCUUGUUUUCCAAGCAUGCGUAAUUAUAUUUGUGUAUUUUUGUAUUUGCAGCUGUGUUUUAUGAGGAAUGGAGACAACAAUAAUGUUAACAAUGAAGUUAAAGGAUAACAGUAAGCUAAUUUUUCUAUGCAUGCGUAAUAAUAUGUGUGUUUAUUUGUAUUUGCAGGUGUGUUUUAUGAGGAAUGGAGACAAGAACAAGGUUAACAAGGAAUUUGAAGGAAAACUCUAAGCUAAAUUUUCCAACCAUGUCUAAUAAUAUCUGUGUAUAUUUGUAUUUUCUUGCUGCGUUUUAAGAGGAAUGGAGAGAAUAACAAUGUCAACCUGGAAGUUGAAGGAAAAUGUUAAGCUAAAUUUUCUAAGCAUGCUUAGUAAUAUUUUUGUAUCUGUGUAUUUUACCUCUGCGUUUUAUGAGCAAUGAGAACAAUGUCAACAAGGAAGUUAUAGCAUAACAGUCAGCUAAUUUUUACAAGCUUGCAUAAGAAUGUCUGUGUAUCUUUGUGUUUUCAGGUGUGUUUUAUGAGGAAUGGAGAUCAGAAGAAGGUCUAUUAGGAAGUUGAAUGAAAAUCGUCAGCUUAAUUUUCCAAGCAUUCCUAAUAAUAUCUGUGUAUCUGUAUCUUGCUCUUGUGUUUUAUGCUGAAUGGAGACUAGAACAAUGUCAAUCUGGAAGUUCAAGGAAAUCAGUAAUUUUUCUAAACAUGCCUCAUUAUAUUUGUGUGUUUGUUUUUUUGUGUGGUUUUUGUGUGUUUUAUGAGUAAUGGAGACAAGAAUAAGGUCAAUGAGUAAGUGGAAGGAAUGUAGUAAGGUAAUUUUUCCCUGAAUGUGUUGUAAUAUCUGUGGGUGUCAUUAUCUUCCUUCUCUUUUAUCAGUAAUGCAGACAGGUACAAUGUCAAGUGUGCAAUAGAUGGAUAAGAGUUUUGUAAUUUUUGCAACCUUCCCUAAUAAUAUCAAUGUUUGUGUGUAUCUUCUUGCAGUGUUUUAUGAGGAAUGUGUAUGAGAACAAUAUCAUGAAUGAAGUGGAAGGAGUGCAGUAAGCUUUUCUCAGACCUUUGGCUUCUGCAACACUUUCAAGAGAAGAUUAGACAAUAUCUCUAAGGAACAGCUUUGGUUUAGUGGAUCAUACCUUUUGACCAAGAAAUGGUAUCUCAAGUUUCCUUCCAGUUCUAUUUCCUAAUUCUGUGAUCUCCCACAGAGAUACUGGAGAAUAAAAUUAGAAUUUGCCUCUCUUUUAUGUACU